UAGGGUGAAAGGAGUAAAAGAAGAAAAAAAAAAAAUUAAAAAAUUAAAUUAAUAAAAGGGGUGAAGGUCGCAGACCUUCACCCGUAAGCUAAAAGAAAAAAAAAAUAAACAAAAGUAGAUCUUCUCCUCACUUCACCACCUCCGGUCAGCCACCUCCGGCGGCAUUCCGGCGACUUUUCCGGCCAGUAAAGGUGCUCCAACUUUGAGACCUACACUCACACUUCACUUGAGAAGGAUUUAAGGAACAAGUGUGGUUCUUGAAUCAAUUCAAGAGAAAGCUUGAAUUUCUUGAGUUGGUGGACUACCAAGGUUCAAGGUUAGGGAAUUGGCGUGACGUGUACUUUGCUUCCUUGGUGAGGAUUGCGUGGUU